rnacentral:rRNA from 1 species
AGAGUUUGAUCCUGGCUCAGGACGAACGCUGGCGGCGUGCUUAACACAUGCAAGUCGAGCGAAAGGAUUCCCUUCGGGGAUGAAUUUAGCGGCGGACGGGUGAGUAACACGUGGGCAACCUGCCUUAUAGAGGGGGAUAGCCUUCCGAAAGGAAGAUUAAUACCGCAUAACAUCAUUUUACCGCAUGGUAGUUUGAUCAAAGGAGCAAUCCGCUAUAAGAUGGGCCCGCGGCGCAUUAGCUAGUUGGUGAGGUAACGGCUCACCAAGGCGACGAUGCGUAGCCGACCUGAGAGGGUGAUCGGCCACAUUGGGACUGAGACACGGCCCAGACUCCUACGGGAGGCAGCAGUGGGGAAUAUUGCACAAUGGGGGAAACCCUGAUGCAGCAACGCCGCGUGAGUGAUGAAGGCCUUCGGGUUGUAAAGCUCUGUCUUUGGGGACGAUAAUGACGGUACCCAAGGGGGAAGCCACGGCUAACUACGUGCCAGCAGCCGCGGUAAUACGUAGGUGGCAAGCGUUGUCCGGAUUUACUGGGCGUAAAGGGAGCGUAGGUGGAUAUUUAAGU